rnacentral:rRNA from 1 species
AUGAACGCUAGCGACAGGCCUAACACAUGCAAGUCAGGGGCAGCACAAGGAGCAAUCUGAGGUGGCGACCGGCGCACGGGUGAGUAACACGUAUGCAACCUGCCUGUAAGCGGGGAAUAACCCGUUGAAAGACGGACUAAUACCGCAUAAUACUAAAUUACUGCAUGGUAAUUUAUUUAAACAUUUAUGGCUUACAGAUGGGCAUGCGCAUGAUUAGCUAGUUGGAGAGGUAACGGCUCCCCAAGGCAACGAUCAUUAGGGGUUCUGAGAGGAAGGUCCCCCACACUGGUACUGAGACACGGACCAGACUCCUACGGGAGGCAGCAGUGAGGAAUAUUGGUCAAUGGACGAGAGUCUGAACCAGCCAAGUCGCGUGCAGGAAGAAUGUCCUUAAUGGAUUGUAAACUGCUUUUGCAGGGGGAAUAAAGUGCAUCACGUGUGAUGUUUUGUAUGUACUCUGCGGAUAAGGAUCGGCUAACUCCGUGCCAGCAGCGGC